CAGUCGUACCUGCGGAUAAUCAGCCUUUAGGAUACGAUUUUGUGGAGCGUGAGGAGCUAAUCGCCUUCAUGCCUAUAUAUUCGUGUACUUGGGGUGUACUUAUUCGUGAGGUAAGUUAACAUCAAUUUUGGUCGUCAUAAAAUGACAUUACAAAACCGAUGUUGACU
rnacentral:rRNA from 1 species